rnacentral:rRNA from 1 species
CGAGAAAGCCCGCAAGGGUGAGUACAGCGGCGCACGGGUGCGUAACACGUGAGUAAUCUGCCCUGAAGCCCGGAAUAACCUCCCGAAAGGGAAGCUAAUACCGGAUAAGCCCACGGGGUCCCCGGACCCCGAGAGAAAAGGCGGCCUCUGUAUACAAGCUGUCACUUCAGGAUGAGCUCGCGGCCCAUCAGCUAGUUGGCGGGGUAAUGGCCCACCAAGGCUACGACGGGUAGCUGGUCUGAGAGGACAAUCAGCCACACUGGAACUGAGACACGGUCCAGACUCCUACGGGAGGCGGCAGUGGGGAAUCUUGCGCAAUGGGCGAAAGCCUGACGCAGCAACGCCGCGUGUGUGAUGAAGGUCUUCGGAUCGUAAAGCACUGUCGCGAGGGACG